ensembl:snoRNA
AUCCUCCAGUUUACUUUCCCACUGGAUCUGAGCACUGGUCUUGGUGGUUUUAAAGGUGGAAAAGUAAUGUUGAAAUUGAGCUCACAGCCUAAUAGUUUUAUAUAUAGCAUGUGGGCUGCUAUCAAACAAGG